UACGUAGGGGGCUAGCGUUGUCCGGAUUUAUUGGGCGUAAAGAGCGUGUAGGCGGCCAAGUAGGUCCGGUGGGAAAACUCGAGGCUUAACCUCGAGAUGUCAUCGGAAACCAUUUGGCUAGAGUCCGGAAGAGGAAAGUGGAAUUCCUGGUGUAGCGGUGAAAUGCGCAGAUAUCAGGAAGAACACCAAUGGCGAAAGCAGCUUUCUGGGACGGUACUGACGCUGAGACGCGAAAGCGUGGGGAGCGAACAGG
rnacentral:rRNA from 1 species